UGAAUUCCCUUUCCUCAUCCCAAUACACCCAUUACCUGUUUUCUUAGUAUCAACUCUGUUCUUUUUUGAAUUCCCUUUACUCAUCCCAAUACACCCAUUACCUGUUUUCUCAGUAUCAACUCUGUUCUUUCAUCUUCUACCAAUCAGAGAAACCCUAAACGCAUCUUCAAGCUGUCAUCAAAUUUUGAAUUCCCCCUCUCAUCCCCAAAUCCCCAUACGUUCACUCCUUUCAUCUAUAGAGAGAGAACCAAAGAAAAAGAAGAGAGAGAGAGAGAGAGAGAGAGCGGGGAGAGAGAGCAACGAUUCUUCCCUCAAAAUCGUUGAUGUUCCAGAAAUUGUUGUUCAAGUGCUUGAUCUGGAACCAACCGGUAAUAGAUACAGGAAGACCAACGAUGGGAUCAUCAUCAUCAAUGAUGUUACAGAUUCAACGAUCUAAGGUCGGAGUUUCCACGAUUCAGAUUCAAAUCGACUCUAUCCAAUAUCGAUUUAUUAAGGUCGUUUAAUCACUGCAAUCCCGUACCCAAAUCUAUGAGAGUUGAGGCUGGCACCAUCCAAUUAAAAUAUCCACAGAAACGGAGUGAUUGCCGGUUGUAGCACUAUUCUCUGCAGUUUGCACCAUUUAUCUGGGAAUUCUUCAUUUUAAGGCGGUGGAUUUGGGAUUUAUAUAAGGCAAAGGUAAUCCACUUUUGGACUUCAAUACAAAUUUUAAUUCAAGGGGAUGGAGGUAGAGGAGGAAAUGGCAACUUCGUGUGGAUACAAUGAGCAUCACAGAAUACCAGACGAAAUGACCGUUUGGAAGGGCUGAAACGAAUUAAUUUUCUUAGGUAAAAAAGUGCAUUUGGACCGGAUGCUGGAUAAGAUUAAAGUUACGUCUUUCAACUGGGUCAAAAAUCGAUCCAAGCUAAGCGAAUUUGAGUCAGAGUACCAGAGAGCUUUUAAUUUUUCCUAAUGUUUUUUUUUUUGAUAUAUUCAGUUGGGUGAUGAAUCUUUACAACUGUUGGAUGUAUGUGUUUUUUAGCCACUGGCUAGAAACCUGUUGCGUAUAUAAAAAAAGGUCAAAUAGCCAUUGUUCUUAAA